rnacentral:rRNA from 1 species
UGGGGAAUAUUGGACAAUGGGCGAAAGCCUGAUCCAGCAACGCCGCGUGAGGGAUGACGGCCUUCGGGUUGUAAACCUCUUUCAGCGCCGACGAAGCGAAAGUGACGGUAGGCGCAGAAGAAGCACCGGCCAACUACGUGCCAGCAGCCGCGGUAAUACGUAGGGUGCGAGCGUUGUCCGGAAUUAUUGGGCGUAAAGGGCUCGUAGGCGGUCUGUCGCGUCGGGAGUGAAAACUCAGGGCUUAACCCUGAGCCUGCUUCCGAUACGGGCAGACUAGAGGUAUGCAGGGGAGAACGGAAUUCCUGGUGUAGCGGUGAAAUGCGCAGAUAUCAGGAGGAACACCAGUGGCGAAGGCGGUUCUCUGGGCAUUACCUGACGCUGAGGAGCGAAAGUGUGGGGAGCGAACAGG